UGAAGUUCUACAGUAUCAGUUAUAAUCUGAGCUGGCACCCAAGCAGGAAAACAAAGUUCUUCUCACUCUUCUCUCCCUUUUCCACAACCAGAGCAGUCUCCCUCCAUGGCCACUACCACCCCAGGCUUGUGGCGAGUACUGCCUGGCUACCACCGAUGUUCACUCAAGGCCCAAGGAGUCCUCAGUCAGUUUGUCAAGCAGUCCCUCAUAAUCACCACACCUGGGAAUGUGCCAAGUCUCAUCUGAAGUAAGCGCAGCUCUGAGUCUCACCCAACGCUCAUGGUGAGUACUGCCUGGGUACUGUUGCUGACUAUUCAGCACCCAAGGGCUCUUUGUUCAGCAGGUGAUAAAUCUUGCCAGGACUAGCUGCUUCCCUUCAAGGCAAUAGGAUCCCUUCUUGCCCAAGCUGUAU
rnacentral:lncRNA from 10 species